GUUCUCUGCCCCCUCCCAGCUCUGGUGUGGGCGGCCUCCGCUAUGGCUGCGCUGCGAAGGCUCUUGUGGCCGCCACCCCGGGUGUCUCCUCCACUCUGCGCUCACCAGCCCCUCCUUGGGCCGUGGGGGCGGCCUGCGGUGACCACCCUGGGCCUUCCUGGCCGGCCCUUCUCCUCCCGAGAGGAUGAGGAGAGGGCUGUGGCGGAGGCGGCAUGGAGGCGGCGGCGGCGCUGGGGGGAGCUGAGCGUGGCGGCGGCGGCCGGCGGGGGGCUGGUCGGCCUGGUAUGCUACCAGCUGUACGGGGACCCCAGGGCCGGCUCGCCGGCGACCGGGCGACCCUCAAAGAGCGCGGCCACGGAGCCCGAGGACCCGCCCCGCGGCCGGGGGAUGCUGCCCAUCCCAGUGGCGGCUGCCAAGGAGACGGUUGCUAUUGGCAGAACAGACAUUGAAGACUUAGACCUUUAUGCCACAUCUCGGGAGAGGCGAUUUCGUUUAUUUGCUUCUAUAGAAUGUGAAGGGCAGUUAUUCAUGACUCCGUAUGAUUUUAUUUUGGCUGUUACAACAGAUGAGCCCAAAGUUGCCAAAACUUGGAAGUCACUUUCCAAACAGGAAUUAAAUCAAAUGCUCGCAGAAACACCACCAGUUUGGAAAGGCUCAUCGAAGCUAUUUCGAAAUCUUAAAGAAAAAGGUGUGAUUUCUUACACAGAAUAUCUUUUUCUUUUAUGUAUUUUAACAAAGCCACAUGCAGGGUUCAGAAUAGCUUUCAACAUGUUUGACACUGAUGGCAAUGAGAUGGUGGAUAAAAAAGAGUUUUUGGUGCUUCAAGAGAUAUUCAGGAAAAAAAAUGAAAAGAGAGAAAUUAAAGGAGAUGAAGAAAAGCGUGCAAUGCUGCGUCUUCAACUUUAUGGAUACCAUUCUCCUACUAAUAGUGUACUUAAAACAGAUGCUGAGGAACUUGUCUCCAGAAGCUAUUGGGAUACACUGAGACGUAACACAAGCCAAGCACUGUUUUCAGACCUCGCAGAGCGUGCUGAUGACAUCACAAGUUUAGUAACAGAUACUACACUUCUUGUACACUUUUUUGGAAAGAAAGGAAAAGCUGAGCUCAACUUUGAAGAUUUUUAUAGAUUCAUGGAUAAUCUCCAAACAGAAGUUCUAGAAAUAGAAUUCCUUUCCUACUCAAAUGGAAUGAAUACCAUCAGUGAAGAAGAUUUUGCUCAUAUUCUUUUACGAUAUACAAAUGUGGAAAAUACAUCAGUAUUUUUAGAAAAUGUGCGUUACAGUAUACCUGAAGAAAAGGGCAUCACAUUUGAUGAAUUCAGGUCAUUUUUCCAGUUUUUAAACAACCUAGAAGACUUUGCAAUAGCCCUGAAUAUGUAUAACUUUGCAAGUCGUUCUAUAGGGCAAGAUGAAUUUAAACGUGCCGUCUAUGUAGCUACUGGACUCAAAUUUUCACCACAUUUAGUGAACACUGUCUUCAAGAUUUUUGAUGUUGACAAAGAUGAUCAAUUAAGUUAUAAAGAAUUUAUUGGAAUUAUGAAAGACAGACUCCAUAGAGGAUUCCGGGGUUAUAAAACAGUCCAGAAGUACCCCACUUUCAAAUCCUGCCUGAAGAAAGAACUUCACAGCAGAUAAAUACUCCUAAAACAAAGUUUAAAGGAUUACUAUCUGUGUGACAAAUAACAAGAAGCAACAUUUUGAGAAUGGAAGCAGGUCUGAGGUCAGAAGAAGUAGAGAAUGAAGGAAAAGUACAACCUUGAGAGGUACCUGAAUCCUUCACUUAAGCCUUUGAGGAACUCUGUGGGGUGAGUCUGCCACUUUCAAGGUGUCUCCGUAUUGCAGGCAUUUAAGUUCUCUAUGGUCUAUGAGUUUAUUACCAUAUGUUUCUGAGAUUUAAAAAUUUUGUCUCUGUACUCUCUUCCAGUUUUCCUGUCCUUGAGAAAGAAACCUAUACUGAAAAAAAAAUUCCUUUCCUGUCAUUAUGGUAUAGUUUCAAGAGGGAGUGAGGAAAAAUCGGCAUCCAAAACAACAUAUUUAACUCCAUAGUUACACAUAGUUCUAAUAUAUCUGGAAGUACCCACAAGGAACUUAAGGAUGGUUAUCUUUGAAGAUGGGGGCGUGGUUAUAUUUAAUGAGCUGUUAUUGAACUAUUAGAGUAUUGUUAGCAUGGGUAUGUUUACUUUUUAAGAAAAGCACAUUUUUAACACUUAGGAUCUCAGUCUGGUAAAAGUGGGAAUAAAUCAUGAAGGCUAUGUAUUCGGUGAAUUUAUUCACCAAAUCUAGAGUUAGACUACUUCUUGAAGUGGGAAGAGAUGGUUUGAAGAAAAAAUAAAAGUAUUACGGUGAUUGUAAAUUUGUGGAACUACCACACAGUUUAGGUUUGGAUGGUAGGACUGCAGAAGGAAAGAAUUGAGAAAGGAACAUCAGGGGGAAUCAGUUACUCGGUUCAAAAAGGUAAAGAUGGCAGCUACACUCUCUGACACAGUAUAUUCUGGUCACAUUUACCAUCAGAGACAAAUGAACUUGAUUAUUAAUCUAAUUCAGUAUGGCAUUUCCUAUAUGUGUAUUAUUUAGGAAUGAAGCAAGUAGCUUAAAGGUAAGCACAUUAGUCUGCUAGCAGAUUUUAAACUGAGGUAAAAUAAGAGUUUAGGACAGAAUAAAAGACAGUAAAGAUAUUUUGAGUGUAUGCUAUAUCAUGCUUUUGCAAGCUCUAGGUGCUAUAAGAGUUAAAUAUUUAAGCUGAAAAAUCUAUGAAAAGCACCCUGAAAAUCUAUACUUUUUUAUGCCAUUGCUCUUUGGUGCUAAGAGUUUCUCAAGUAAGUGAGUAUCUUAUGUACCAUUUGUGCUGUAAUAUUUAAUUACAGUGAGUGUACAGAAGAUUAGCUGUCACAAAGAAUCUUUUGAAAUCAGAUUGCACAUCAAAACUACAUUGUGCCCUGCUAAGUAGGCAAAUUUAAGAAAGAGGAGAAAGUGAUGUCAAGACGUAUUGCAAAAUGAACAAAUAAAGCAAUAGGAUUUGCUUGUUGUUCAGCCUAUUAAAGCACAGCCAAAUGUCAGCCUUCAUUUGUCAACUUAAAUAUGUUUUUUCUAAAAUUUAUAAAGAUUCAGUCUAUGGAAAGUAUCCUUUACUAUUUGGACUGAGAAGUAAAUUAAGCAAAAGGAAAUACUAAAUAGAUUAUGCUACUAAUUCAGUUUCUCAUAGUGAUAAAUUGCCACAUAAAGAUGUAUGUUAGUAAUUCAGAUAGAGAUAUUUAUUGCCUUUUAUUUUUGUUAUUUGACUGAUUAGCAAAUUAACAUAUGUGUUUUUGCUCCCAGAUAUGUGAGGUUUUAAAAGCUUAGGUUAAUUUCUGCUCCACAAUAGCUAAACCCCAAAUACAAUGUACACUGAACCAUUUCUAGUGUCCUGUGAUUUCUUCCCUUCAAAAACAAAAAACAAAAAAGGGGUAAAAAUAAUUUUUUAAAAAAUCUAAGUGCUGAGCCCCAAGUAGCCAGGAGUGGAAACUAUCAGUUUAGAGCCUGAAUUGGACUUGCUAGAAAUCACCAGGAACCAGACCACAUAAGGGGAGGCUCCUCAGCUAGAGCAACAGAGUUCACAGAUGGUUGGAACUGGAAUGGUUGGGAGCCUGCGGGCUUUAUGGAGAGGAGAGAUUGCCCUGAAGCCAGAGUUCUCUACUGACAGUGUGUGAGCAUAAUCAGCUUUGAAACAGCAGUGAGGGAGAGGACCUGAAUGGGCCCUCCUCUUCUGAGUUAAAACUUUUAAGGGAAUCCCAAAAGUUCCUGAGAUCAGUGUACACACACACACACACACACACACACACACACACACACACCAGAAUGAAGCAGAAGAAACUAUCCCAAAAGAGUCUUACAUGAUAAUCAAGCAUAAACUUUAAAAGAAUUCAACCAAAUCCAGAUAAAGGUAGCCACUAUGAGUGAAAAUCAAAGGCAACAAUACAUUUAGACUGCAGAAAAUGCAUAUGUUGGAACUGAAUACAAAAUACAGAAUACAGGCUAUAUGUGAAAUUAACUUUGAAAUUUCAAAAAUUGUUACACAAAAUGAGAAAACUGUAGGGAUUAAACAGAUACACUUAUGAGAUAGAAUUUCUAGAAAUAAGCAUUUGCUGAAAUCAAAACCUCCAUUGGAGAGCCAUGACUAUUAGACUUAUCCUUCUACCAUAAACAACUACGACAUUGCACAACAAAUAAUUCAGGGCCUUGAUCCUUGAAAGAAGGGAAAACUAUGUGGUGGAACUCUGCAUUCAGUGGCUUUCUUCCUGGAAGGGCUUUCCAAACUACAGCAGAAGUAAGUGGAGCCCAGACAAAAAAGAGUUGCAUGGGAUGGCAGAAAUGGGACCAGAGUUAAGAAUAGCUCAAGUAGCUGGCUGAAAUUUAUGGGACAGAGUACCAGGGAAGGGGAGCUGUGCAGAAAAGAAGCACCAAAAAUCUGCAUAGGGGUACUGUUAAGUCUGACUGAAUACUAAGCUGUACGUAAGCAAGGCAAGACUUCAUGGGGCACGGCAGAAAACAGUCACUGGAGGUCCCAUAGUGCUGGGAGCCAUCAGUGUUCAAAUCAGCCAGUGUGUGAAGGUCUCACUGAACAACCCAAGCAUUAAGUAAAGGUCACAGGUUAGGGGUAAGGCUACUGUACCUCUAAAGUAAAGACAACUCUUGACCUAUCCUAAAAUUAAACCUUGACAGGACCAAGCUAUCCUAUCAGUACCGCAGCUACCUGCCAGAACAAAACUCAAUACCUGCACAGGAAGACAGCAAAUUCCUACUGUCAACAGUGUAGUAUCCAUAACAUCCACUAUAAAGUAAGCCAAUAUUAGGCUAAGCAGGAAAAUGUGACCCUUAAAAAGGGGAGAAAGUCAUUCAUAGAAAAAGGCCCAGAGGUGACCCACAUAUUUGAAUUAGCAGAUAAAAACUUUAAGAACUAUUAUAAACAUGUUCAAGGGUUUAAGUAAAAAUAAUAGCAUAAUAGGUAAAGAGAUGGUAAUUACAGACAGAACAAUGAAAACUAUAAAAACCAAAUGAAAAUUUUAGAAUUGAAAAAUACAAUACUUGAAAUAAAAAUUCAUUCUGUGAACCUAAUAGAAGAUUGGAGACAGAAGAAAUGAUCAGUAAACUUAAAGGCAGGGAAAUACAAGCUAUCCAAACUGAUGCACAAAAGAAAAAACUAUUGAGGAAAAGAAAAGAAUAGCACCUCAGUGAACUAUGGAACCACACAAAACAGACUACUGUAAGUGUAAUUGGAGAUCAAGAAGAGGGGAAGAGGGUGGGAGAGUAAAAGAAAAAUUGAAAAAGUACUAACCAAAAUUCUUCCCAAAUUUGAAGAAAUGUGUAAGAGUUUCAAGAAGUUUAACCCCAAACAAACCCACAUCUGUUCAUAUCCUAAUUAAAUGGCUAGAAAGCAAAAACAAAAAUUUUUUUUCAGAGACAAAAGAUAUAUACAAGGGUAAUGAUAAGAAUCAGUGCUGACUUAUCAGUAAUAAUGGAGAACAGAAGAUAAUUGUAUAACAUCUUUAAAUGGUGGAAAGAAAAAAGUGUUAAACUGGAAUAGUAUAUUCAGUAAAAUAGUCUUUUAAAAUAAUGGUUAUAUAAAGACACCUUCCGAUAAAUACUGUCGGAGAGAAUGUAACCAGCAGACCUGCACACUGGAAGAGUUAAAAGAACUUCUUUAGGCAAUUGGGGAAUGAAACUAGCCAAAAAUUUUGAUACAUACAAAAUAAAGUUCACCACGUAAAUGAUAAAUGUUUAGUAAAAUAUACAAUGUUUUCCCUUAAGUGUAUAAAAAGGCAAUUGAGACUAGGCGCGGUGGCUCACACCUGUAAUCCCAGCACUUUGGGGGACUGAGGCGGUGGGUCGCCUGAGGGUAGGAAUUCAAAACCAUCCUGGGCAACAUGGUAAAACCCCAUCUCUACAAAAAUACAAAAAUUAGCCGGGCGUGGUGGCGCAUGCCUGUAAUCCCAGCUACUCAGGAGGCCAAGGCAGAAGAAUCACUUGACUGAGGUGGAGGUUGCAGUGAGCCGAGAUCGCACCAUUGCACUGCAGCCUGGGAGCAAGACUCUGUCUCAAAAAAAAAAAGAGAAAAAGAAAAAGGCAAUUGACUCUUUAAAAUGAAAAUAAUGCAUUGCUGCGUUUAUCAUUAAAUUAUUUGGUAAUAUCGCAAAGGACAGAAAGGGGUAAAUAGAAGUAUACUGUUGUAAGAUUGUAUUGUAGGUGCAAUGGCAUAGUAUUAAUUCAGUUAAUAUAGAUUGCGACCCAUAGAACCGUAAGUGAGUUAAAAUGCAGUAAUUUUUUUUAAAUGGCUAACCCAUAACGCA